rnacentral:SRP_RNA from 1 species
CUGUGCUAGACGGGGAACUAGCGGUGCCCUGUACCUGCAAUCCGCUAUAGCAGGGUUGACUUCUCGCCGGAGGUCCUUUAACCGCGGGACUGCUGGAUUUAAGUGGCGAUGAAGGUCGGGUCCUGCGCGGCAGAGCGCUAUGAACCCCGCCAGAUCCGAGAGGAAGCAACGGUAAAUAGUAGUUUCUGGGUGCCGCAGGAAUACCUGACCAGAGCUGGCUGAAAACGGCAAGCCGGGGUGCGGGAUCGAAGGUGAGGGCACAG